rnacentral:rRNA from 1 species
AUGAGCCCCUCCACUCCUUCCAGCGAGGCCCCGAACCUCGACCACGCCACCACGUCCUCGCCCCUCGCCGGAUCCUGCAGGCCGCCGCCCGGCUCCCUCGCGCCCUUGCCGGGCUCCUCUUCCUCCACGCCCGCCUCGCACCAGGAGCUCAACCUCGUGCCCCUCCACGCCCGCCUCGCGCCCGAACUCCUCUGCACGCCGCGCCCUGCCACCGGUGCAUCGCCCCGAAGCUACGGUGCCGCUGUCGAGUCGCCAUGGCCCCUACCUCUUGCACCUUCUCCUUACCUUCCUUUCCCCACCAGGGACCCUCCCGCCGGAGCCCAAGUCCGGCGCCGCCUCGCCUCCUUGAUCCCAUCGCCCGUUGCCCGCUCCUCGCAGGGUUUCGAGUGCUGGUGCUCCUCGUAG